rnacentral:rRNA from 1 species
UUCCGGUUGAUCCUGCCGGACCUGACUGCUAUCGGAUUGAUACUAAGCCAUGCGAGUCUUUGUAGUAAUGCAAGGCAGACGGCUCAGUAACACGUAGUCAACCUACCCUAUGGAUGAGAAUAAUCUCGGGAAACUGAGGAUAAUACUCAAUAGACCAUAAUUCCUGGAAUGGUUUAUGGUUAAAUUGAUUCGUCGCCAUAGGAUGGGACCGCGACCUAUCAGCUUGUUGGUGAGGUAAUGGCCCACCAAGGCGAUUACAGGUACGGACUCUGAGAGGAGAAGCCCGGAGAUGGGUACUGAGACAAGGACCCAGGCCCUAUGGGGCGCAGCAGGCGAGAAAACUUUGCAAUGUGCGAAAGCACGACGAGGUUAAUCCGAGUGAUUUCUGCUAAAGAGAUCUUUUGUUAGUCAUAAAACCACUGAUGAAUAAGGGGUGGGCAAGUUCUGGUGUCAGCCGCCGCGGUAAAACCAGCACCUCAAGUGGUCAGGAGAAUUAUUGGGCCUAAAGCAUCCGUAGCCGGUUCUCUAAGUUUUUGGUUAAAUCCAUAUGCUCAACAUAUGGGCUGUCGGAAAUACUGCAGAGCUAGGGAAUGGGAGAGGUAGACGGUACUCGGUAGGAAGGGGUAAAAUCCUUUGAUCUAUUGAUGACCACCUGUGGCGAAGGCGGUCUACCAGAACAUGUUCGACGGUGAGGGAUGAAAGCUGGGGGAGCAAACCGGAUUAGAUACCCGGGUAGUCCCAGCUGUAAACGAUGCAGACUAGAUGAUGCAUUAGCAUAUAGCUAGUGCAGUGUCUCAGGGAAGCCGUU